rnacentral:rRNA from 1 species
UGAGGGAAAGUUGCAAAGAACUUUGAAGAGAGAGUUCAAGAGUACGUGAAACUGCUCAGAGGCAAACGGGUGGGCCCUCGAAAUCCACCUGCGGAGGGAUUCAGUCGGGAGUCGCGGGGGCCCCGCCAGGUGCCGGACCCUUCGAAAGGCCGGCCGGGCGGGGCGGUCCCCUCUUCGCCCGACGCACUUCCCCCCGCACGAAGGACGCCGCAACGGAUCGGGUAGCAGCGAGAGUCGGCCUUGGGGCGGUCCGCGACGGAACCGACGGGUGCCCGCUUGCGCGGGUGCCCCUCGGCAGUCGGACCGCGCGUGGCGCGACACCCGAUCGAGGUCAGAGUUCCCCCUCCGGGGAACGAGCCGUCUCCAUCCUAGCGGUGCCGGGGCCAGUGAGCGCCGCCGAGACCGAGCCACCGCUCCCGGUGGCCGGUCCGGCGGUUCCGCCGCCGUUGGGCUCCGGACUACCGCAGCGGGAGAUUUCGAACGGUUGGCGGCGAGUAGGUCGGUCACCCACCCGACCCGUCUUGAAACACGGACCAAGGAGUGCAACACGUGCGCGAGUCGCAGGGUCUUGAACAGGCCCGGGGGCGCAAUGAAAGUGAAGACGGUUGGGACUCCCGGACUGAGAGUCCGGGAAGCACCAACGGCCCGUUCCGACCCACCAGUGGGUGGAGCGGAGUCGGAGCGCACGCGUUACUACCCGAAAGAUGGUGAACUAUGCCUGGGCAGAACGAAGCCAGAGGAAACUCUGGUGGAGGUUCGUAGCGGUUCUGACGUGCAAAUCGAUCGUCAGACCCGGG